GAUUUUGGAGCAGGAAUACUCAAUCUGCAGCACAUUUUUUUACAUCUUUUCUCUCAAAGAAAGCAUGUCAAGUGGGAGGACAGACAUAGGCCUAUGAAUUGAUACAAUGUUGGUGCUGUUGCUUUAGGACCUUCAGACCUGGAUGGGGAUGUAUGAUAAGGAUCCUGGUUCUCAGGCCUUCUGGUGUGCACUGUAGCUACACGUCCAGCUUUCCUGUGCUGUCAGUUUGGAGACAGCAGGUCAUGAGACUUCACUGCAUUCAUAAUUAUGUGAGCCAGUUUGUCAUGGUAAAUAUGUAUGUAUGCAUGUAUGUAUCCAUCCAUCCUGUUGAUUCUGUUUCUCUGGAGAACGCUGAUUAAAACACCUCUCUGCCUUCAGAA